AGCUACCACUUACAGAUGGACCCGCGGCGCAUUAGCUAGUUGGUGAGGUAACGGCUCACCAAGGCGACGAUGCGUAGCCGACCUGAGAGGGUGAUCGGCCACACUGGGACUGAGACACGGCCCAGACUCCUACGGGAGGCAGCAGUAGGGAAUCUUCCGCAAUGGACGAAAGUCUGACGGAGCAACGCCGCGUGAGUGAUGAAGGUUUUCGGAUCGUAAAACUCUGUUGUUAGGGAAGAACAAGUACCGUUCGAAUAGGGCGGCACCUUGACGGUACCUAACCAGAAAGCCACGGCUAACUACGUGCCAGCAGCCGCGGUAAUACGUAGGUGGCAAGCGUUGUCCGGAAUUAUUGGGCGUAAAGCGCGCGCAGGCGGUUUCUUAAGUCUGAUGUGAAAGCCCCCGGCUCAACCGGGGAGGGUCAUUGGAAACUGGGGAACUUGAGUGCAGAAGAGGAGAGUGGAAUUCCACGUGUAGCGGUGAAAUGCGUAGCGAUGUGGAGGAACACCAGUGGCGAAGGCGACUCUCUGGUCUGUAACUGACGCU
rnacentral:rRNA from 1 species